UUCUUCGAGUUGCCAGGUCACUAGCCUUCCUCUCAAAGUCCUCCACUUGGAGAAAAAAGAAAUGUCAAGUAGAAAUAAGCCAGGGGAGAAAGGAGCAGUGUGCUCUCAGCCCUUCCCACGAACUUGGCAUCCAUCCAAAUGGCUUUGACCACCAAUGCUGGGCCUCCUCAGAGAUGCCAGAAGGUGGCUGCAACUGCAGAGCUGAGAACAACUGGAUCUUGUUCACACUCGGCCAGAAGAAGACUCCUGGAAACAGCCUUUCCAGGAAGUGACCUGGAGGCUAACAGAGGAAGACACUUGCAAUAGAAAUCCAGCAGAAGGGAGCACCAUCCAGCAUCUACACCGAGCUGAGGCCCAAGACAAAGGAUUGUUGUGAAAACUAAAAACAAGUGAAUUCAUACCAAGCAAUUGGAAAGGUGCCUGGUGCAUAGUGGGGUGUCAUCAACCACAACAGCUAAUCAGUAUCAGGAUAACAGGACUACGACUUGGAGGAUGUUGGACGGAGAUGAGUAACUUUCCUUAACUAGUGACCUACAGAGCCCAGGAAACAGAGAACCACACUGGGUUAAGUCCCCGCUAGCACUGGUGGCCGUCCCAGGGGAACCCACCAGAGACCUCAACCCUCACUGCUCCUUGAAGCCACUGCUCACUCGUGAUCGAGCCCACAUUCUGUUUUCUCUUCCCCAAGGGUGAGGUCACACCUCCUUCCAGCCUGACAGAAAUAAGGAGCUGACGUGAGAUCUCUGAGACCCUGCUGCUGCCAUCAUGAGCUCAGAAAACCUUGGAGACCACUCAGCUAGGCAGCUGCCUCUUUUCUGGCCAGUUCCUACAUGUGACCCAGAAUUGAGGGUGGUUCCUCCAGGCAGAGUUAACCUACACAGGAAUCAAGAACCAAGAAGAGGAUGGAUGAGCAUCCUGGAGCCCCCGAGAGGGGCCACGUGGAGUUCCCCCAAUGGGAGUGUGUCCACAGAGCCUCUUUCCCAGCCCUCUCCUUGGGGAUCCACUUGCUAGGUACUCUCUUCCUGCCCCACUGCCCUCUAGCAGGUGACUCAGAAGUGAGGCCAGGACAGCUCAUGGGGAGGGCGACAGCAGAGAGAGUCCCCAGGGCCAAAUGGGGCAGCGAGAGCAGGUCCCCCAGGGUCCCUGGAGCUCCUCCUGCCCUCUCCCUGGCCCAGCCUCCUCCUGCUCCCAGACCCUGGGUCAUCACCACAGACACCAUUCCUUCAGCUCUCACCCUGCCGCUCACCCAGCCGCUCUGCAAGAGUCAGCGGACAGUGAACUGAACCCCAGUCUACCUGUGCCACCUCCCACCUGGAGGGGAAGGGUGACAGGGUUGUUCACAGGAUCACAUCUGGCUCCACCCCUCCUCCACCUGGCUGAUCCCCUCCCCUGCCCAUCCUGAGUGUCUCUGAUUAGGAUCCUCUCACAUAGUAGUCUUACUCAGCGGUGGGUGGUCCUCAACCCUUUUUUAGAAUGAGGUCACAUUGGUUUACAAUGUUCUAUAAGUUCAUGCGAACAGCACUGGACUUCUUCUGUGUGUGCUGCGGUGUGCCGCUGCAGUCUCUGCUUAGCUGCGCAGUCGUUGUUGACGCUUUGCGACCCCCAGGACUGCAGCCCACCAGGCCCCUCUGUCCAUGGGAUUUUCUAGGGAAGGAUAUUGGAGUGGGUUGCCAAGCUCUCCUCCAGCUGCUGCAUACUCACCACCAAAAUUUAGCUGGAAAAAUCCGUAGCUGCAGAAUGAAGAAAUCACAGGAGUUUAAAAUAAGGAGGAUUGAAAGUCAUGUCCAAGAAGUGUCUGACACUUGACCUUGGGUUCCACCUCUGAGCUUCCUGCUCACUGGCCUUGGCUUGUCCCUUCUCCUGUCUCACUUUCUUCUUCUGUGAAAUAAGAAGAAUGCCUCUGUAUGUUCACGUACCAGGAAACACAUCUUACAUCAUGUCCCAGCCCCCCCAUAUAUAUACAUAUAUAUCCUAGUGCCUACAUCUUACCUUCUAUUCCAUAACCUCUAGAUCCCUGAAAUCACACAGGGAUUUUGGUAACGCAUUUGAGCAGUGCUCUUGCCCUGUACUGAUCUGAGGUUAAUUAUUUCCAUCACAUUCUUUAUCCCAUUUAAUGUGAAUAUUCUUUUGUUUCACUGCCAAAACACAAAAGCAUUCAUUUGCAGGGUGCUGCCAGUCUCUGCUAGAAGUAACUCACAAACACACAGGCCCUGUAUUCUCUCUCUUUGUGUGUGUGCAUGUGCUCAUGUGUUCAGUCGUGUUCAAUUCUGUGUGACCUCAUGGACUGUAGC